CAGUGUGCCUACCUACACUAGCACGUAGGACGAAGAUACUAGUGGCAUACCUGUUUGUUUGUGCCCACUUGUAUCGUUUGUUGUUGCACUUCGAAAGAGAAGAUGAUGUAGAUGGUAGCUAUUGAAUGAAAAAGUAAACAAACAAAUUAUAUUGAGAUAGUGAAAAUUAUUAGUGCUAGUUUCGGUGAAUUAUUAAAUUAAUAGGAGUGAGGAAGUGAAGCGUAACAUAAACUGGAGCAUAUUUUCGGAACAAAGUUGCCAGUGCUACAAUUGCUCGGGAAGACUGAGACCUGCAAUAGAAAAUAAUUAUUAUUCUGAACUAUUAGCUGAACGAGUUUAUGCCAGCAAACAAGGCCGAGGAAGUGUGCAGGAAAAGGAUUCAUUCUAAGGAAACUGUUGUUGUGUGAAAGGGGAGUGUAGAACCAAAUGUUGUAAGUUAUUUAAAAUAUGAAAUUGAGUUUCCUAAAAUAAAAAAAAAUAUAAAUGUUUAGUUUUAGCUGCUACCAAAAAGGACUGCUUAAAAAACUGGUUUCUAUCCGAACA